CGGACGAACGCUGGCGGCGUGCCUAAUACAUGCAAGUAGAACGCUGAAGGAGGAGCUUGCUUCUCCGGAUGAGUUGCGAACGGGUGAGUAACGCGUAGGUAACCUGCCUGGUAGCGGGGGAUAACUAUUGGAAACGAUAGCUAAUACCGCAUAAGAGUAGAUGUUGCAUGACAUUUGCUUAAAAGGUGCAAUUGCAUCACUACCAGAUGGACCUGCGUUGUAUUAGCUAGUUGGUGGGGUAACGGCUCACCAAGGCGACGAUACAUAGCCGACCUGAGAGGGUGAUCGGCCACACUGGGACUGAGACACGGCCCAGACUCCUACGGGAGGCAGCAGUAGGGAAUCUUCGGCAAUGGACGGAAGUCUGACCGAGCAACGCCGCGUGAGUGAAGAAGGUUUUCGGAUCGUAAAGCUCUGUUGUAAGAGAAGAACGAGUGUGAGAGUGGAAAGUUCACACUGUGACGGUAUCUUACCAGAAAGGGACGGCUAACUAUGUG
rnacentral:rRNA from 1 species